rnacentral:sRNA from 1 species
UCGAUCGAUCGUGUCAUCUGCGCGUGUUUAUUAAAUCGUUUACCAAUAAGGUUAAUUUAACUAAAUGGUGUGUUUAACGAGUUAAGUUUUAUAAACCUCCGAGUCUUUUAUCCAUUGCCGCCUUUUAAUUUAUGUCCAAUAAUCAGUAAGAUGUGCCUUGUGUAAUUUUUAGUGCAGAGCUUUUUUCCGACACAAAAUUUAAGCGCGAAAUCCACACAGCGUGAGAGAGAGAGAGAGAGAAAUGAGAUCUUAGACAAAGUGAACAACAAUAUGGCAAAUACUUGAAGACAACUCGUGAUUAUAUAAUAUAAAUCUGUCUCCAAAAUGCGCAACUGGCUGGCGUCGAGUCCUGCCAGUCCGGCCAAUCCGGCCAGCUCCUGGCUGGCUGCUAAUUAAAAAAGCGUUGCCUACGUGAACUGGCUAUGGCCAUGCCACGCGCGUUAUCAUUGGACACAUAAUUGCCCUCAAUCGGGCUAAAUGAAAACAACUCGUUGACGUUGCCGCCCCACAAACAAAAAUAACAAACAAAAAAAAAAAGUGUUGAGAGUAAGAAAAGCCUAUUACUAUAUCUUCUAUAAGUAACCGCACACUCCGCUCAUAUCUCAUAUAACAAUUAAGCGCUACGCGUCGCUUAAUUGAAAUGUUUCAAGGCAAACAAAUCAACGGGACAGACCGAAGCCCCAACAAAUUGUGGCACGCAAAUUGGAAUUUCAUUGUCUUCCACUGACAACGGCCAAAUUUUCCGCGCGCUCGGAUGACCCUUGGCUAUACAAUAUCCCAAAUAAUCGUAUACAAUGCGCUACCGUACCCAACGACACAACAACAAUGUUUCCCAGUUGACUCACGUAUCCUUGGUCAUGCCAUACCAUAGAUAUAGUCCUGGUAAACGUCCAAAUUCCUGUAAUAUUCGCUCGCAAAUGGCUUCAGCUGGUAUACAGCCGUUUCUUAACAGGGACAGCGAAAGUAUGCAAAACAAACUUGCGGUUUCUGAUUUGACAAUCGACUAAUAUAUUUGCUGCUACCGCAUAUGCAAUGUAAUUAUUCUGCAAGUAGAGAGAGGCUUACAUAAAACACCUGC